AUCGCUUCUCAGCCUUUUGGCUAAGAUCAAGUGUAAAUUUUCAAGGUAUGUGUUAUAGUGAAACAACGUUUGAAAUUAAGUUUUGGAGCAUGAAUUUGUAAAAAACAUUU
rnacentral:sRNA from 1 species